GUCGUUCAAGUACUUGACUCGUUUCUAUGCCAAGUGCUUGGCUUCAGUCCUGCCUCGUUUCGCACCACAGUCAGAGCAAAUCUCAGUCUAUCGGACGCUAGCGACCAACAGACCCCGCCGAGCCUGGCGGUUCCCAAUUUUUACGUGUUCCCAACGCAGCCAGUGGGACGUUUCCGUUGCCGUGAAAGUGAAUUGAACAAGUGCAAGUACAAUUUUUGGAAAACAAUUUCGGAAUUGAAAUGGAAUAAAUCAAUCAAUCAAGCAUCAAAUGCAUAAAGUGAAACAAAAUAUCAAAAAAAAGGUCAAAGAGAGAGUGAAAGUGAACCAGCUAAAAAUUGAAAUGCGAAAAGUCUAAGGCAAGACUCAAACUACAAGAAUUGAGAAAAUACUACAAGUUUGAGAAAGUUAAAGCAAUCUUGUCGUGACUCAACUUAUUUUGUUGGCCGCAAUGAAGCUUGUGUGCGAAAUGGUUUUGUUUUUCUACCAAUUCGCAAAUAUGUGGAUGAAAUUGUGAAAAUUGUUUGGCCAUAAUUUUCCGCAAAUUGCGAUUGAAGGGGUCGAUGCCAAAUCAGUGAGAACCAAAUUUGAAUCGCAGCUAACUCCCCUUGUCGGCGACUCAGCGAAUUAAUGUCCUCGGGCGAGUGAAAUGUGUUGUUAACGGAACCCAGCCAAAAGGGUCCUCUGGGCUCCAUUACAAAUAGAUUCAGCCAAGCAAACAACAGCCAAGGCUACUUAAGUGAUAAAUAAUCAUAAAUACAAGUGUAUAAAUAUUCAUUUGUUUGUGUCUGUGCUCGAUAGAAAACAGAUUUCGAACGAUUCUGAGAAAGUUUUGUAAGCCCAAUGACGAAACGAGAAAUUGUGCGAUAUCUUCAUAGUGAUACUACGGCGUGGCCAAAAAUAAAUACUAAGCCAAAUUGUCAAGAAAUUGGACAAGAGAAACGAGCUUAGCUGUGACUUUGAUUGAAUGCGUCCAGGGCUCGACUGCCUCGAGAUAUUAGCUUACAUUGACGAGCAAAUCACAGCUCACAUUGGAUUACAUAAAUAAACCAAGGAAUGAUCUAGACUACAAUGAGAGUCACAGCCAACGCAACGUCUGUAAUUGGCCCAAAGAGUAUUGAAUUAAAGAUAAGACGAGCGAA